CCUACGGGUGGCAGCAGUAGGGAAUUUUUCACAAUGGGCGAAAGCCUGAUGCAGCAACGCCGCGUGCAGGAUGAAGGCCUUCGGGUUGUAAACUGCUUUUAUAAGCGAGAAAUAUGAUGGUAACUUAUGAAUAAGGAUCGGCUAACAACGUGCCAGCAGCCGCGGUCAUACGUAGGAUCCGAGCAUUAUCCGGAGUGACUGGGUGUAAAGAGUUGCGUAGGUGGCAUAAUAAGUAGCUAGUGAAAUCUGGUGGCUCAACCAUUCAGACUAUUAGCUAAACUGUUAAGCUCGAGACCGUUAGGGGUAACUGGAAUUUCUAGUGUAGGAGUGAAAUCCGUAGAUAUUAGAAGGAACACCAAUAGCGUAGGCAGGUUGCUGGGACGGUUCUGACACUAAGGCACGAAAGCGUAGGGAGCAAACGGGAUUAGAUACCCGUGUAGUC
rnacentral:rRNA from 1 species